rnacentral:siRNA from 1 species
GAUAUUGGUUUCCAUUGUGGUAG